UUAAUUCUUAUUAAUUUUUCAUUUUGCUCAUUUAUUAAUUUAUAUCAUGAAUUUAACAAUCAUUGGUUCUAUAUUUUAAUAGCUGCUUGGUGGAAAACAUAUGGUUCUUCAACUCCAAACCUACAAAAGUUUGCUGUAAAGGUUCUGAGUCUCACAUGUAGUGCAAGUGGUUGCGAAAGAAAUUGGAGUGUAUUUGAGCAUUAAGAAAAGAAAUCGGCUAUUUCAAGAACGCUUGGACAAUUUGG